AGAGUUUGAUCAUGGCUCAGAACGAACGCUGGCGGCAGGCUUAACACAUGCAAGUCGAACGCCCCGCAAGGGGAGUGGCAGACGGGUGAGUAACGCGUGGGAAUCUACCUAGUUCUACGGAACAACACAGGGAAACUUGUGCUAAUACCGUAUACGCCCUACGGGGGAAAGAUUUAUCGGAAUUAGAUGAGCCCGCGUAAGAUUAGCUAGUUGGUGGGGUAAUGGCCUACCAAGGCGACGAUCUUUAGCUGGUCUGAGAGGAUGAUCAGCCACACUGGGACUGAGACACGGCCCAGACUCCUACGGGAGGCAGCAGUGGGGAAUAUUGGACAAUGGGCGAAAGCCUGAUCCAGCCAUGCCGCGUGAGUGAUGAAGGCCUUAGGGUUGUAAAGCUCUUUCAGUGGGGAAGAUAAUGACGGUACCCACAGAAGAAGCCCCGGCUAACUUCGUGCCAGCCGCCGCGGUAAUAC
rnacentral:rRNA from 1 species